rnacentral:rRNA from 1 species
CAUGCAAGUCGAACGGGGUGUUUAUUUCGGUAAACACCAAGUGGCGAACGGGUGAGUAACGCGUAAGCAAUCUACCUUCAAGAUGGGGACAACACUUCGAAAGGGGUGCUAAUACCGAAUGAAUGUAAGAGUAUCGCAUGAGACACUUACUAAAGGAGGCCUCUGAAUAUGCUUCCGCUUGAAGAUGAGCUUGCGUCUGAUUAGCUAGUUGGUGAGGGUAAAGGCCCACCAAGGCGACGAUCAGUAGCCGGUCUGAGAGGAUGAACGGCCACAUUGGGACUGAGACACGGCCCAGACUCCUACGGGAGGCAGCAGUGGGGAAUCUUCCGCAAUGGGCGAAAGCCUGACGGAGCAACGCCGCGUGAACGAUGAAGGUCUUAGGAUCGUAAAGUUCUGUUGUUAGGGACGAAGGGUAAGAAUCAUAAUAAGGUUUUUAUUUGACGGUACCUAACGAGGAAGCCACGGCUAACUACGUGCCAGCAGCCGCGGUAAUACGUAGGCGGCAAGCGUUGUCCGGAAUUAUUGGGCGUAAAGGGAGCGCAGGCGGGAAACUAAGCGGAUCUUAAAAGUGCGGGGCUCAACCCCGUGAUGGGGUCCGAACUGGUUUUCUUGAGUGCAGGAGAGGAAAGCGGAAUUCCCAGUGUAGCGGUGAAAUGCGUAGAUAUUGGGAAGAA